rnacentral:rRNA from 1 species
GAUGAACGCUGGCGGCGUGCCUAAUACAUGCAAGUCGAGCGAAUGGAUUAAGAGCUUGCUCUUAUGAAGUUAGCGGCGGACGGGUGAGUAACACGUGGGUAACCUGCCCAUAAGACUGGGAUAACUCCGGGAAACCGGGGCUAAUACCGGAUAACAUUUUGAACCGCAUGGUUCGAAAUUGAAAGGCGGCUUCGGCUGUCACUUAUGGAUGGACCCGCGUCGCAUUAGCUAGUUGGUGAGGUAACGGCUCACCAAGGCAACGAUGCGUAGCCGACCUGAGAGGUUGAUCGGCCACACUGGGACUGAGACACGGCCCAGACUCCUACGGGAGGCAGCAGUAGGGAAUCUUCAGCAAUGGACGAAAGUCUGACGGAGCAACGCCGCGUGAGUGAUGAAGGCUUUCGGGUCGUAAAACUCUGUUGUUAGGGAAGAACAAGUGCUAGUUGAAUAAGCUGGCACCUUGACGGUACCUAACCAGAAAGCCACGGCUAACUACGUGCCAGCCGCCGCCGUAA